rnacentral:rRNA from 1 species
CCUACGGGGGGCAGCAGUUAGGAAUUUUGGGCAAUGGGCGAAAGCCUGACCCAGCAACGCCGCGUGGGUGACGAAGGCCUUCGGGUUGUAAAGCCCUUUUCUCGGGGAGGCGGUACCCGAGGAAGAAGCACCGGCUAACUACGUGCCAGCAGCCGCGGUAAUACGUAGGGUGCAAGCGUUGCCCGGAUUUAUUGGGCGUAAAGGGCGCGCAGGCGGCUCGGCACGUCCGUUGUGAAAUCGCCCGGCUCAACUGGGCGGGGUCAGCGGAUACGGUCGAGCUUGAGCAAGCUAGGGGGUAAUGGAAUUCCCGGUGUAGUGGUGGAAUGCGUAGAUAUCGGGAGGAACACCAGUGGCGAAGGCGGUUACCUGGAGUUGCUGACGCUGAGGCGCGAAAGCGUGGGGAGCGAUCCGGAUUAGAUACCCUUGUAGUC